rnacentral:rRNA from 1 species
GAUGAACGCUGGCGGCGUGCCUAAUACAUGCAAGUCGAGCGAACAGACGAGGAGCUUGCUCCUCUGACGUUAGCGGCGGACGGGUGAGUAACACGUGGAUAACCUACCUAUAAGACUGGGAUAACUUCGGGAAACCGGAGCUAAUACCGGAUAACAUGUUGAACCGCAUGGUUCAACAGUGAAAGACGGUCUUGCUGUCACUUAUAGAUGGAUCCGCGCCGCAUUAGCUAGUUGGUAAGGUAACGGCUUACCAAGGCAACGAUGCGUAGCCGACCUGAGAGGGUAAUCGGCCACCCUGGAACUGAGACACGGUCCAGACUCCUACGGGAGGCAGCAGUAGGGAAUCUUCCGCAAUAGGCGAAAGCCUGACGGAGCAACGCCGCGUGAGUGAAGAAGGUCUUCGGAUCGUAAAACUCUGUUAUUAGGGAAGAACAAAUGUGUAAGUAACUAUGCACGUCUUGACGGUACCUAAUCAGAAAGCCACGGCUAACUACGUG